rnacentral:rRNA from 1 species
AUUGAACGCUGGCGGCAGGCCUAACACAUGCAAGUCGAGCGGAUGCAGGGAGCUUGCUCCUGGAUUCAGCGGCGGACGGGUGAGUAAUGCCUAGGAAUCUGCCUGUUAGUGGGGGAUAACGUCCGGAAACGGGCGCUAAUACCGCAUCCGUCCUGAGGGAGAAAGUGGGGGAUCUUCGUACCUCACGCUAUCAGAUGAGCCUAGGUCGGAUUAGCUAGUUGGUGGGGUAAAGGCCUACCAAGGCGACGAUCCGUAACUGGUCUGAGAGGAUGAUCAGUCACACUGGAACUGAGACACGGUCCAGACUCCUACGGGAGGCAGCAGUGGGGAAUAUUGGACAAUGGGCGAAAGCCUGAUCCAGCCAUGCCGCGUGUGUGAAGAAGGUCUUCGGAUUGUAAAGCACUUUAAGUUGGGAGGAAGGGCAGUAAGUUAAUACCUUGCUGUUUUGACGUUACCAACAGAAUAAGCACCGGCUAACUUCGUG